rnacentral:rRNA from 1 species
UGCCAGCAGCCGCGGUAACACGUACUGUGCGAACGUUAUUCGGAAUUAUUGGGCGUAAAGGGCGCGCAGGCGGUCUUGUCCGUCAGGUGUGAAAGCUCGGGGCUCAACCCCGGAAGUGCACUUGAAACAGCAAGACUUGAAUACGGUAGAGGAGAGAGGAAUUCCUGGUGUAGAGGUGAAAUUCGUAGAUAUCAGGAGGAACACCGAUGGCGAAGGCAUCUCUCUGGGCCGAUACUGACGCUCAUGUUCGAAAGCGUGGGGAGCAAACAGGAUUAGAUA